AUUGAACGCUGGCGGCAUGCUUUACACAUGCAAGUCGAACGGCAGCACGGACUUCGGUCUGGUGGCGAGUGGCGAACGGGUGAGUAAUACAUCGGAACGUGCCCAGUUGUGGGGGAUAACUACUCGAAAGAGUAGCUAAUACCGCAUGAGAACUGAGGUUGAAAGCAGGGGAUCGUAAGACCUUGCGCAACUGGAGCGGCCGAUGGCAGAUUAGGUAGUUGGUGGGAUAAAAGCUUACCAAGCCGACGAUCUGUAGCUGGUCUGAGAGGACGACCAGCCAAACUGGGACUGAGGCACGGCCCAGACUCCUACGGGAGGCAGCAGUGGGGAAUUUUGGACAAUGGGCGAAAGCCUGAUCCAGCAAUGCCGCGUGCAGGAUGAAGGCCUUCGGGUUGUAAACUGCUUUUGUACGGAACGAAAAGCUUCGGGCUAAUAACCUGGAGUCAUGACGGUACCGUAAGAAUAAGCACCGGCUAACUACGUGCCAGCCGCCGCGGUAAUAC
rnacentral:rRNA from 1 species